UGCAAGUAGUCUCUACUCUGUUUUCUGCAGAAAGGUAAGGGACAGUCCCUUUGUGGCUGGGCCAGCCCUAUCAGGCCUGUGGUUUAAAUAAAAAAAUGAGGGUAGAGACUACUUGCAUCAUUCUGUUUCAUUGUGUGUGCAUUUUUUACCCAGCCAUGAGGUCCUUGAGGGGAAGACCAUAUCUUCUCCUGUU